AGGACGAACGCUGGCGGCGUGCUUAACACAUGCAAGUCGAACGGAAAGGCCCGCUUGCGGGUACUCGAGUGGCGAACGGGUGAGUAACACGUGGGCAACCUGCCCUCAGCUCUGGGAUAACUCCGGGAAAACCGGUGCUAAUACUGGAUAUCGACUUCUGCCUCGCAUGGGUGUCGUUGAAAGUUUUUCGGCUGGGGAUGGGCCCGCGGCCUAUCAGCUUGUUGGUGGGUGAUGGCCUACCAAGGCGACGAC
rnacentral:rRNA from 1 species